AAAUGUGAAUCCAUGUGAACAGAAACACAAAGCAGAUCUAAAGGCUGCCCUCAGAUUUCAGAGCCAAGUUCUGCACUGGAUGGUUUGAGGUAAUCGAAGCCUGGAAUGUAUAAACCUGGUCUAGCUGUGAGGGAUGGGGGGGUGCAGUAAGUACGGUGACGUCAAUAAAAACAGUCAUUUCCAACCAGUCUGCGCAUUGACCGACUGUUCAAAACAUUUGCACGGCGCCGCAGUUCGGACCACGCUGGACCCACUACCACCUGAAAUAAACUGAGGAAGCGAGAGACAAACGGACAAACUCAACUGCAGGAACAAAGUGCAGAAGUCUUCUCGGAGGACGAGGCUCCAUCUCCACCCUGCUCUACGCUUUUAGCCUCUUUACAGUGCUGCCUUGUCUAAUGGUGUUCAAGCAGCAUUGUACAGGGCUAUGACAGCAUAGAGAGCUCAGCCUCUGGAUGGCAGCCAGAAAGUGACAUCAUCCGUUAAAAACAC